AAGUCAGAUGUGAAAGCCUUCUGUUCAACGGAAGAAUUGCAUCUGAAACUACAAGUCUUGAGUGUAGGAGGGGAGAAUGGAACUUCUGGUGGAGCGGUGAAAUGCGUAGAUAUCAGAAGGAACGCCGGCGGCGAAAGCGAUUCUCUGGCCUAUUACUGACACUCAGUGUGCGAAAGCUAGGGGAGCAAACGGGAUUAGAUACCCCGGUAGUCCUAGCCGUAAACGAUGGGCACUAAGUAGAGGGAAUUACCGAUGUUCUCUCUGCCGUAGCUAACGCAUUAAGUGCCCCGCCUGGGGAGUACGGCCGCAAGGCUAAAACUCAAAAGAAUUGACGGGGGCUCGCACAAGCGGUGGAGCAUGUGGCUUAAUUCGAUGCAACGCGAAGAACCUUACCGGGGCUUGACAUGGUAGAAGUAGGAACCCGAAAGGGUAACGAACGGUAUCCAGUCCGUAACUAUCACAGGUGUUGCAUGGCUGUCGUCAGCUCGUGUCGUGAGACGUUGGGUUAAGUCCCCUAACGAGCGAAACCCUUGUUUUUAGUUACCAGCGGGUUAUGCCGGGUACUCUAGAAAGACUGCCGUCGUCAAGACGGAGGAAGGUGGGGAUGACGUCAAGUCAUCAUGGCCCUUAUGCCCCGGGCUGCACACGUGCUACAAUGGUCGGUACAAACGGAAGCGAAG
rnacentral:rRNA from 1 species